CUAGGUGCCACCAUAGACAUGUUUACGCGCGCUAAAUCAAUGUCUCUUAACUUGGUUAGAUUUCUAACAAGUCUGUCAAAAAUCAUUGGUUCUAUUGUCAAACGACCAUUGGAAUCAGAAUCAUAAUUCCCAUACAGAUAGAGAGAAACCAAUUUGGAUAAAUGGCUGAUAUCCGGGAAUUUCCCUUGCAAUUCACAAUACACAAGUUCAAGUGAUGAUAAAUAAGAAGAGAGAUUCAUCCAAGAACUAGGUGCCACCAUCGACAUGUUUACACCGCCUAAACGAAAGUCUCUUAUCUU
rnacentral:misc_RNA from 1 species